UGGGGAAUAUUGCACAAUGGGCGCAAGCCUGAUGCAGCCAUGCCGCGUGUGUGAAGAAGGCCUUCGGGUUGUAAAGCACUUUCAGCGAGGUGGAAGGGUAGUGUGUUAAUAGCACAUUGCAUUGACGUUACUCGCAGAAGAAGCACCGGCUAACUCCGUGCCAGCAGCCGCGGUAAUACGGAGGGUGCAAGCGUUAAUCGGAAUUACUGGGCGUAAAGCGCACGCAGGCGGUUUGUUAAGUCAGAUGUGAAAUCCCCGCGCUUAACGUGGGAACUGCAUUUGAAACUGGCAAGCUAGAGUCUUGUAGAGGGGGGUAGAAUUCCAGGUGUAGCGGUGAAAUGCGUAGAGAUCUGGAGGAAUACCGGUGGCGAAGGCGGCCCCCUGGACAAAGACUGACGCUCAGGUGCGAAAGCGUGGGGAGCAAACA
rnacentral:rRNA from 1 species